rnacentral:rRNA from 1 species
AGAAUCAACGCUGGCGGCGUGCCUAACACAUGCAAGUCGAACGAGAAAGUGGAGCAAUCCAUGAGUAAAGUGGCGCACGGGUGAGUAACACGUGACUAACCUACCCUUGAGUGGGGGAUAACCUAGAGAAAUCUGGGCUAAUACCGCAUAAUACCUUCGGGUCAAAGGAGCAAUUCGCUUAAGGAGGGGGUCGCGGCCGAUUAGUUAGUUGGCGGGGUAAUGGCCCACCAAGACUGUGAUCGGUAUCCGGCCUGAGAGGGCGCACGGACACACUGGAACUGAAACACGGUCCAGACUCCUACGGGAGGCAGCAGUGGGGAAUUUUGCGCAAUGGGGGAAACCCUGACGCAGCAACGCCGCGUGGAGGAUGAAGCCCUUGGGGCGUAAACUCCUUUCGAUCGGGAAGAUAAUGACGGUACGAGAGAAGAAGCCCGGCUAACUUCGUGCCAGCAGCCGC